GUGCGUGAGGGAGGGUGCGGUCCUCAGAUUGUAGUUCUGUCUGCUCUGUGUAAGCGGAAUCGCAGCAGUUACUGCUGCCUGGAGCUUUAAUAAAACCCACUGAGUUCUUGAUUCUAAAGGUUCGACAAUCGCUCUGCUGUUCUGGCAAAAUGGCAAAUAAUGUGAACUGGAUUCAGCGUUCAAGUGUGCCAAGUUUUGCACAGAUGCUAAAGAAGAAUUUACCUGCUCAAGCUCCAGCUGUGAAUCUGAGCUCCACAGUUUCCACAUGCUGCCCAUAUGUUGAACCUGAUUGUGGAACAGCAAAGGUUACUCAAAUCACAGGUUUUCCACCGAUUACUUUACCUGAACCAUUUUUAUCAGAAAUGAUUGUACCUGCAUCACUCUCCUCACUGCCACCUAGAAAGGUUACAAAGGAAUUUGUGGUGAAAUACAGACAUGGUGACCUCAAUCCUGUUUCUGCUUUAUACCAGUUUGCACAGAUGCAGCGAAUGGAAAUUGAUCUAAAAUCAACUGUAACAACAGUGACAAAACAAUGUUUUUCGCUUGAAUAAGGAAAUGUCUUUGGUGCUUAUUUUGCAUUCUGUGCUGUUAUUGAUGGAAUUGAAUACAAGCCUGGAAUGAGGCAAAAGCAAAUGCUACAAAACGUGCACUUGAUGAACUUCUUCUACAUGAAGAUUCUGAGUUAACAGAUAAGCGCACUUUUAUUCAUGAAAAGAUUUCCUCUAUUAUUAAAGAAACCUUUACUAAUUUAAUAUCCAAAUAUCCUGAAUAUGAAAGCUGUGGUAGCUCAUUAGCUGCGUUUGUCAUUGAAAAAGGCAUUGCUCUACUAUGGUUUAUACAGUCUGGCCUACCUCAAGCAAAGUCGGAUGGCUGACAGAGAGCACACUGCAACCACAGGAAGCACUACACAGUCUUUCAGCUGUGUCCAGCACUCAAAGAAAGUAACCUGCUUGGCCCUAGCCAGGUUAACAGUGGGCACAUGUGAACCUGGACCCUGAUCAUGAACCCCUAGCAAUGAAAUAGUAAUAAGCUUGGAUAUUGGAUCUUUAGACUUUAGCAAGGAAACUCUUCCAUGCUAAUGGGAAGUACUGCAUGGAACCACAGUGGAGCUAUAUUAAAGUUACAGUUAGAAAAAAGUGACAAAAAAAGAAAAUAUGGGGGCACUCUGGAAAUCCAAAAGACAGGCCAUUUGAAAAGUUAAAAGGAAUGUUAUUAUAGAUACUUUUAUAGGCAGUUGCUGCUUUUCUACAGUGGAAGUAAUGGAAUGAUGGACAAGUCCAUAUUUUGCACAGAACCUGCAACCAACCUUCUUGCUCUAAAACCAAAUUUCAAUAUCUUCCUGUACAUGAAUCAGCUUCGAAAAGGUGCUGCUCAGACAAAUCCCCAACUUUUCCUACCUCUGGGGCCAUGUACCAGCAUGUUCCAGUUUUCCCACGGAUGGUCUUGUGGCCAAAAACGCCUUCUGCUGCGAUGCCGAAAUCAGCGAUUUUCAUGUGUCCGUCGCUGGUAAGCAGGAUGUUGUCUGGCUUAAGAUCUCUGCAAGAGAAGGAUAAUGGUGCUUGAUGCCCAGCAGGUUGCUGAGGCUGCCUCCGCCCGCAUACUCCAUGACCAGAAAGGCAUAUUGCUGAGUGCAGAGACAAAAGGGAAGAGAGUGAAACACAGGAACAAGAAACCCCAAACUAUUGCAUGUAAUACAGGCAUGUCCCUCAGCAAAACUAGAUACAGAAAGAACAAGUAUGUUGUGUAAUACUCUAACAUGGCUUUUGUUGCUCAUAUCAUGGCAUUAAGCUGAGCUUUGGGGAUAGGCAACUAGUAAACCAAACGGUAUGGCAGCAUUGGAAGUAACUUACUUUGGUCUGAAAGGCUGCAAGGCCACGGCACAAGAAUGGACUGCCGCAAGCAACCUUCAGGAUUCUGGCCUCCUUCUCUAUCGUUUUCUUCUCCUCGUCCUUGGGUGUCUUCCUGAUGACUUUUACAGCCACGCGUUCUUUCUUCGUGGGGAUGGAAGCCAAAAACACCUGAAAAGUCAAAAAGAAUAAGGGCUAAUUAUUUAAAGGUUCUGUGCACUUUAACAUGCAUGCAAGUUGGUAAAUACUGGGCACAGAAUAAUGAAGAAUGGACAUCAUGGCACCACAAGAAGCAGCACUGGAGUGGAUGGUUAUUAAAUUUGCUUUAGUUGCACCUUGAAGCUGCUGUGGGCUUUUAAUGGGCCUUAUGCACAAGGUGCAAAGCCACACAAGAUAGUCCAUGAGUCCAUGAGGGAGCGCGAAACGCGUCGACUAGUACCUAGAGAGGACCCGUAGUGACUGAAUCGGCGCCUAUUGGUGACGUCACUGGAAGGAGGCGAGCAGCACACUAGCCGUUACCGCCGGCGUGAGUACCUCUCUUUAUCAGAAGUAAGUUCCCGGCCGGGACAUGUGCUUUUUUAAUUAAAGUCUUGGGAUUGUAUUCAGCUCUCCCUAGGCUAGCUCUCCUACUUUUUGCCCGCACAGUAUUGUAAGAUUUACUGAACAUUUAGGUAUAGGGUGUAUAUUGUGCAUCAAUACAGGCUUACUUUCCCCGUUAACUUAUUUUUAGACUAACCUGCAAGUUUCUUCUGCCUAGGCUGAGUAUUCUUUGAGUGGGGAAUCGAUCUUUUAUCUGCUGCUAAUUGGGGUCUGAUAAAUGGUUUAUCCUCUUCUUUGUUUUUAACCUAAAUUCUCUAUACCUUUUGUAUUAGAUAUGUGGGAUAGGUAAUUUGACCUCAGUGUUUUUUAUGUGUAUUAAUUGUGGUUUCUCUUCCUUCUCUAUGGGAUUUUUAGAAUAGGUUUCCUAAGGUGACUUGCUCUUAGGUUUUUAGUGUGGUCUCCCUUACAAUCAAUAAACUUAUGUUUAGGUAUUUUAUCCUGUACCUGGAAUCUAAUAGAUAUUGGUUCAGAGUGUGGGUGAAUUAAUUUAUUGUCCAUUUGUGCCAUUAUUUUUAAUUGAUACUUUUUAUAUAGUGGGUAUGCAUUAAUUAGUAUUUAUCUGUAUCACUAAUGAAUUGUAAUUUUGUUAUAUCACUAUUGAAUUGUAAUCAUGUUGUAACACACAAGAAUUUUUCAUAAUAAAUUUAAAAUUAUUAUA